UGCCCUAUAGCCAAGUGGUAAGGCAGAGGAAUUUGACUCCUAUAUACGCAGGUUCGAAUCCUGCUAGGGUAG
rnacentral:tRNA from 1 species